rnacentral:rRNA from 1 species
GAUGAACGCUGGCGGCGUGCCUAAUACAUGCAAGUCGAGCGAACAGACGAGGAGCUUGCUCCUCUGACGUUAGCGGCGGACGGGUGAGUAACACGUGGAUAACCUACCUAUAAGACUGGGAUAACUUCGGGAAACCGGAGCUAAUACCGGAUAAUAUAUUGAACCGCAUGGUUCAAUAGUGAAAGACGGUUUUGCUGUCACUUAUAGAUGGAUCCGCGCCGCAUUAGCUAGUUGGUAAGGUAACGGCUUACCAAGGCGACGAUGCGUAGCCGACCUGAGAGGGUGAUCGGCCACACUGGAACUGAGACACGGUCCAGACUCCUACGGGAGGCAGCAGUAGGGAAUCUUCCGCAAGGGGCGAAAGCCUGACGGAGCAACGCCGCGUGAGUGAUGAAGGUCUUCGGAUCGUAAAACUCUGUUAUUAGGGAAGAACAAAUGUGUAAGUAACUAUGCACGUCUUGACGGUACCUAAUCAGAAAGCCACGGCGAACUACG